GUGCGAACAUUGGCAGGACAUCUACUAAAAUCAUAAGGAUACAGAGAAGAUUAGUAUGGUCCCUGAGCAAGGAUGAUAUGCAGAUUUGUGAAGCAUUCCAUAUUUAA
ensembl:snRNA U6 U6 spliceosomal RNA